CUGCGGGGUGGGCCCGACGCGUGGGUCGAGGCGGGGCUCUAGGAGGUGGCACUCAGGGCUGGAGAAACCACUGCAUUUUGAAUGUCUCUGCAUUCUGAGACAAGACGUGCCUUCCUCGAUCAUCUAGCUGGGUUUGAGUGCUUACCAGCUUUCAUGAGGUUACCCAGAGCCUGCUAGGUACAAAGAAGAACUUGAGGAUGUUUCUAGGAACCAGGUAAAGGUGCAGUGGAAAAGAAUAAGAGACUUCCCCAAGGUCACAACUG